AAAGAUCUAAAGGAAAGGAGUGGGCAUUGAGGAAAGGAGGUCGUCCGGGCCUCUGCCCCGCAGAGCCUCUCCAGCCCCCCAACCCCGACCCUGGAAAGGAAGAACUCCUCCCAACCCUCAAGCCCCAAGUUGGUGUUUCCCCCAUCCAACCGCCCGGACCGGUUCUUCCAGUCCCUCCCCAGCCUCAGGCCCAAGGCUAGGAGCACAGCAGAACCUCAACUGUGAGAGAGGCUCCCGUGGGAAGAGAAACCGACUCUAAUUGACAGCCCCUCCCAAUUCCACACCCUGGCCCCUCCCAGGAUGUUUGCGAAGCGCUUUAGGUAGUUUAUCUUCUUUGAACCCUACAACAACGCUGAGAUAGAAACUACCAUUAUUAUCAAAUGAGGAAACGGAGACAAAGGAAGGUGACUGAGAAGGUACAGGUUAGUAGACUGGGGACACCCCAGUUCCAGGGCCUAGAUACCCAUCCUUACGGGCUACCCGCUCCCCAAGGCCUGCCUGGAAUCUAAGAUGGAAGAAGUUUACAGAUGCUCUAACCAGGACCAUUCCGGUGCUUCCUGAACAUCUACGUACUAAUGAGGCCCUCUUCCUGACACUCCUGCCUGCUUUUAGAUAAUCAAAUCACCCCCACGGUCGAGUCUAGGACUAUUGAUUUACUCCCAGCGCCUGUUAGGGAGAAAAAUAGGAUUUCAAGCAUGGAUGAAAGCUCGGCAGCAAAGCUCUCCUGGCGCCCUCACUCUCCUUUAGCCCUCAUACCUCAUCCACUCCUGCCUCCUUGGUUUUCCUUAUACCAACAGCAUCUGCUUUUUCCAAACCAAAACUUGGUUUGGGCGCAAAGUCUGACAAAAGACAUUUUGCAGAACCCUCUCUGAUCUCAUCAGUUCCCAUGGGUUCAGUGAUUACAUCUAGGCAGAUGAUUCCCAGAUCUCUGUUUCCAGCCUUAGUCUCCUGAUCUCCAGUACCAUAUUAGACAUUUCCAAUUAGAUGUCCAGUAAAUAUCUUGAACUCAACGCUUUUUUUAAACUCAGAAUUCAAUAUUUUGACCUCGACAUGCCCAAAACAUUAUCUUUCCUCCCCAAAAAAACUUAACUCCUCUUCCUAACUUUCCUGUAUCUAUCAAAGUCAACAUCAGCUUAGUUACCCAGGUUCUCAGCUUCUGAGUCAUCAUUAACUAUUCACUGUCUGAUUCAGUGCCUCUGUAUCAAUCAGUCACCAAGUCUUAGGGUUUCUACCUCCACCCUUCUCAAAUCUGUACCCUUCCCUCCACUCAAACUGCAGCCACCCUAGGGCAGAUUCUCAUCCCCUCUCACCUGAGCUAAUUCAACAGCCUCUUAGUUGAUUUCCUUCUCUGAAAUUUUUUGUCUCUCCAAUUCAUCCUCCACUCAACUGCCAGAGUGAUAUUCCCAAAAGACCAGUCAUUUCUUUGCUUAAAAAUCUCCAGUGGCUCUCUAUUCCCCGUAGGAUAAAAUACAAGCUUCUCUUAAUGUCCUUGACAACAUGCCUGCUUUUCCACAUUAUUACACAUCAUUCCACUUCCUAAAUUCUAUGAUCCAGCCAAAUUGGCUUUCCUGCUCUUCCUCACACAUGACAUUCUAUGUGUCCUCUCUCACCCCUGUUCUUUGCCUUAGCUGUCCUCUAUGCUCAGAAUGCCCUCUCUCCUCACCUCUGCCUCCUAGAAUCUUUAACUCCCUUCAAAAUUCACCUCCUAUAAGGCCUUUCCUGAUCCCCCUUAGCUGCUAAUGCUCCCUCGCAAAUGCAUUUUUAUUUACUUUGUACAUAUCUCAUUGUCUCUCUAGGGAGAAUGUUAGCUUCUUGAAGACAGAAUCUGUCUCAUUUCUGUCCUUAUAUCCCAACAUCUAGCAUGCUGCCUCGCACAUAAUAAGUAGCACCUCAUAAAUGCUUGAUGACUGAUUAAUUAAAAGUAAAUACACUUUCUUUUCUUGAAGUUGAACCUGUCCCAGAAAAGCUAAGAUGUUCGUAGUCAUGGUAGCCCUGCAAACUCUUCCGCUAGUCUGGUAUCCCCUGACCCUUAUGCAUUUUUUUAACCUAGCUGAAUACCACCCCAGCCCACAGUGAUCCUGCUUCUCCAGUCCUGAACUCCCACAAGAUUUGUUUUCCAAGACACUGCUCCCACAUUUCACCAAAUACCACCUCUUGCUAUUAGUAGCUAGUAACAUGCACUAUCUUGUCUCCCCAGCUAAGUUAGAAACUCCUUGAAAGCAGAAACUGUGUAUUUGUAUUCCUCUUGUUAGCAUAGUACCCCAAGAAAGUAGAAGUAUUUGUUAAAUGGAUAAUUAUGUCCUGGUCCCCCAUUUCCCUCUCCCCUCAGGUCCUGACCUCCAGUGUUCUAGGUCCUGGACCUUCCUUCUGGGACCUGAUAAAAGCUUAUGGGCAUCGAUAUUUAAGUGGUUUUUAAAGUGGGAGUGGAGAAAGAAGGAAAAGGGCAGGCAGGGGCUUUCCUGCCUCCAUUUGGAUCCCAUUUUUCCUAGAUCAUAGGAUGUGGAUGGAGUUCUUGGAGAUCACUUAGUCCAAUUCACCCAUCUUAGAGAUAAGGUAACUGAGGCCCAGAGAAGGGUAACUAAAUCACCCAGGGUCACAGAGAUGGCAAAGUUCAGAACAAAGAUUCAAAGUCAGUUUCUCUGACCUGCUCUCUCCAUUCUACCACAUGACCUCCAUCAAGACUCAGCUCAUAUGCUCCUUCUUCUGUCGAGUCUUUUCUGCUCCUUCUAGUCAGAGACAACUGUCCUUCCUUUGACAUGUGUUCUUAUCGUGUUACAGUAUGUAAAAAAUUCAUUUGGACAUGUGUCAUCCCUCCUACCAGAUUAGAAUCUACAGGUCAGGAACCCUGGCUUACUCAUCUUUGUAUUAUACACACACACCCCUGCCCCAAACAGUGUCCUGUACACAGUAGAAUAAAUAAAUAGAAUAGAAUAAAAAUAAA